GUCAGACCCUGUUUAUUAAGGUAUAUUCUAUAUUUUUGAGUAAACCUAUUUUCUAUUUUUGAGUAAGCUUAUAUUACUUUAAAUUGUUGAACCCCUAUUUAAAGUGUACCUUUAAACUAUGUUUUUAUUAAGAUCACCUCUUUGGUAUAUGCUACUGGUGAAACAAAGAGAUGGGAACAAAGAUACCCCUGUCCUAUAGGCCUUGUUUAUGUCAAAACCCAGACCACUUCCCUAAUGCGUAGAGUACAUAAACAAUGAAUGACCAGUGGAUACAUUUACUGGUACUCCCUUUGUCUUGGGGAUAGGGAAUAGUGGGGUUGUUUGCCUGGUUUGGAAGAAAGAUUGGCUUUCUCGUUGAGAGCAAGUUUAGACUUCAAGGCAGAUAGACGUGUGAUGUAACUUCCCCCAGAAGUUACUAUGUCGCAGCUUUUUAAGACCUGCCUUGAUUUUGUUUCUUAACAGAGUUCCACCAUGGUUCCACCAUGGUUCCACUUCCAUUUCCCUCGGGACAAGAGUUGGGACUGCUGUCGUUGUUCAGACAACGCUCUUCGCCUGAUCGAUGUAUUUAGUGCUUACUGACGAACGACUCGUGUUUUAUCAUUUGUACUUUAUAUGAACAUCUAUUCUUUUCUUCUAUUCAUUGAUAUUUUUCUACUGUAUAGUGUAGUUUACUUUGCUCCUUUUCUAUCAUUUAUUGUACCUGUACGAUACAUUGUUAAGCUUUGCAUGUAGCUGUUUUUGUAAGAAUUGUUUGUUUGAAAUCGAAAUGCCAGUUGUCACACUGGGAAUUUAUUAUCGGUGUACCUUUGACACUGAAUAUUAAUAAAUACCUCUUUGGAAUUAUCAUUGGCACAAAA
rnacentral:lncRNA from 1 species